rnacentral:rRNA from 1 species
CGGAGGAAAAGAAAAUAACAAUGAUUCCCUUAGUAACUGCGAGUGANGGGGGAAAAGCUCAAAUUUUAAAUCUGUUAGGUUAUACCUGACCGAGUUGUAAUUUGAAGAGGCGUUUUCUGAGGKUUUGAUCAGUCCAAGUCCUUUGGGAUAAGGCAUCAUGGAGGGUGAGAAUCCCGUUCGGUUGAUCAGAACUUCUUUACGAUACGUCAUCAAAGAGUCAAGUUGUUUGGGAUUGCAGCUUAAAAUGGGAGGUAAAUUUCUCCUAAGGCUAAAUAACGGCGAGAGACCGAUAGCGAACAAGUACCGUGAGGGAAAGAUGAAAAGAACUUUGAAAAGAGAGUUAAACAGUACGUGAAAUUGUUGAAAGGGAAACGAUUGAAGCCAGUCGUACCGGCGGGUAAUCAGCCUUUUGGGUGUGAUUAUGUGGAGCGUGAGGAGUUAAWCACCCUCAUCUUUGCAUAUUCGUGCACUUUGGGUGUACUUGCUCGUGUGGUAGGUUAACAUCAAUUUUGAUCGUCAUAAAAUGAUUGGAGGAAUGUAGCUUCGAUCUCGUAUUGAAGUGUUAUAGCCUUCGGUAGAUGUGAUGAUUGGGAUUGAGGAUUGCAACGGAUACCCUUCGGGGCUACCUGUCUGAUCUCUGAAAGUUGCUCUGGUGCUGAAAGCUUGCUUAUGGUAUCAAAGUUGACGUUCAACAGGUUAGAACGGGAUAAUUCGUAAGGAUGUUGACGUAAUGGCUUUAAACGACCCGUCUUG